UCGACGGAGUUAUCAUUUUUGAAGCGAUUAGCUUGCUAAGAGUGGAAAAGUUGAUAACUUAGUGGCGGACGGGUGAGUAACGCGUGGGUAACCUGCCUUACACAGGGGGAUAACACUUAGAAAUAGGUGCUAAUACCGCAUAAGCGCACAGUCCCGCAUGGGACAGAGUGAAAAACAUUAGUGGUGUAAGAUGGACCCGCGUCUGAUUAGCUUGUUGGCGGGGUAACGGCCCACCAAGGCGACGAUCAGUAGCCGGCCUGAGAGGGUGGACGGCCACAUUGGGACUGAGACACGGCCCAAACUCCUACGGGAGGCAGCAGUGGGGGAUAUUGGACAAUGGGGGAAACCCUGAUCCAGCGACGCCGCGUGAGUGAAGAAGUAUUUCGGUAUGUAAAGCUCUAUCAGCAGGGAAGAAAGAAAUGACGGUACCUGAGUAAGAAGCCCCGGCUAACUACGUGCCAGCAGCCGCGGUAAUACGUAGGGGGCAAGCGUUAUCCGGAAUUACUGGGUGUAAAGGGAGCGUAGACGGUAAUGCAAGUCUGGAGUGAAAGGCGGGGGCCCAACCCCCGGACUGCUCUGGAAACUGUGUAACUGGAGUGCAGGAGAGGCAGGCGGAAUUCCUAGUGUAGCGGUGAAAUGCGUAGAUAUUAGGAGGAACACCAGUGGCGAAGGCGGCCUGCUGGACUGUAACUGACGUUGAGGCUCGAAAGCGUGGGGAGCAAACAGGAUUAGAUACCCUGGUAGUCCACGCCGUAAACGAUGAUUACUAGGUGUGGGUGGGUAUGGACCCAUC
rnacentral:rRNA from 1 species